UAGAGUUUGAUCAUGGCUCAGGAUGAACGCUGGCUGUAUGCCUAACACAUGCAAGUCGUACGAGAGUUUUUAACUCUAGUGGCGGACGGGUGAGUAACACGUGAGAAUUUGCCUUUAGGAGGGGGACAACAAUUGGAAACGAAUGCUAAUACCCCAUAUGCUUUCGAGUGAAAUGGAUUUAUAUUUAUCCGCCUAGAGAGAAGCUCGCGGCUGAUUAGCUUGUUGGUAAGGUAAGAGCUUACCAAGGCGACGAUCAGUAUCUGGUUUGAGAGGACGAUCAGACACACUGGAACUGAGACACGGUCCAGACUCCUACGGGAGGCAGCAGUGGGGAAUUUUCCGCAAUGGGCGAAAGCCUGACGGAGCAAUACAGCGUGAGGGAAGACUGCCUAUGGGUUGUAAACCUCUUUUUUCAGGGAGGAAUAAAUGACGUGUACCUGAAGAAUAAGCAUCGGCUAACUCCGUGCCAGCAGCCGCGGUAAGACGGAGGAUGCAAGUGUUAUCCGGAAUCACUGGGCGUAAAGCGUCUGUAGGUGGUUUAAUAAGUCAACUGUUAAAUCUUGAGGCUCAACUUCAAAAUCGCAGUCGAAACUAUUAGACUAGAGUAUA
rnacentral:rRNA from 1 species